ACGGUCAUAAGGUAAACAAGAGGGUCGUCUAGUUAGAAAAAAAGGAAAAUCAAAAAACACAAAAAGAACUCAAAAUAAAUGCAUCGGCAUUUCUAAUUUGCUCAUGGGAUAGAAAUGCCGAUGCAUUUAUUUUGAGUUCUUUUUGUGUUUUUUGAUUUUCCUUUUUUCUAACUAGACGACCCUCUUGUUUACCUUAUGACCGUU